rnacentral:rRNA from 1 species
AUGAACGCUAGCUACAGGCUUAACACAUGCAAGUCGAGGGGCAGCAUCAUCAAAGCUUGCUUUGAUGGAUGGCGACCGGCGCACGGGUGAGUAACACGUAUCCAACCUGCCGACAACACUGGGAUAGCCUUUCGAAAGAAAGAUUAAUACCGGAUGGCAUAGUUUUCCCGCAUGGGAUAAUUAUUAAAGAAUUUCGGUUGUCGAUGGGGAUGCGUUCCAUUAGGCAGUUGGCGGGGUAACGGCCCACCAAACCUACGAUGGAUAGGGGUUCUGAGAGGAAGGUCCCCCACAUUGGAACUGAGACACGGUCCAAACUCCUACGGGAGGCAGCAGUGAGGAAUAUUGGUCAAUGGACGAGAGUCUGAACCAGCCAAGUAGCGUGAAGGAUGACUGCCCUAUGGGUUGUAAACUUCUUUUAUACGGGAAUAAAGUGAGCCACGUGUGGCUUUUUGUAUGUACCGUAUGAAUAAGGAUCGGCUAACUCCGUGCCAGCAGCCGCGGUAAUACGGAGGAUCCGAGCGUUAGCCGGAUUUAUUGGGUUUAAAGGGAGCGUAGGCGGGUUGUUAAGUCAGUUGUGAAAGUUUGCGGCUUAACCGUAAAAUUGCAGUUGAUACUGGCGACCUUGAGUGCAACAGAGGUAGGCGGAAUUCGUGGUGUAGCGGUGAAAUGCUUAGAUAUCACGAAGAACUCCGAUUGCGAAGGCAGCUUACUGGAUUGUAACUGACGCUGAUGCUCGAAAGUGUGGGUAUCAAACAGGAUUAGAUACCCUGGUAGUCCACACAGUAAACGAUGAAUACUCGCUGUUGGCGAUAUACGGUCAGCGGCCAAGCGAAAGCAUUAAGUAUUCCACCUGGGGAGUACGCCGGCAACGGUGAAACUCAAAGGAAUUGACGGGGGCCCGCACAAGCGGAGGAACAUGUGGUUUAAUUCGAUGAUACGCGAGGAACCUUACCCGGGCUUAAAUUGCAACUGACUGAACCGGAAACGGUUCUUUCUUCGGACAGUUGUGAAGGUGCUGCAUGGUUGUCGUCAGCUCGUGCCGUGAGGUGUCGGCUUAAGUGCCAUAACGAGCGCAACCCUUAUCGAUAGUUACUAGCAGGUCAUGCUGAGGACUCUAUUGAGACUGCCGUCGUAAGAUGUGAGGAAGGUGGGGAUGACGUCAAAUCAGCACGGCCCUUACGUCCGGGGCUACACACGUGUUACAAUGGGGGGUACAGAAGGCAGCUACACGGCGACGUGGUGCUAAUCCCGAAAGCCUCUCUCAGUUCGGAUUGGAGUCUGCAACCCGACUCCAUGAAGCUGGAUUCGCUAGUAAUCGCGCAUCAGCCACGGCGCGGUGAAUACGUUCCCGGGCCUUGUACACACCGCCCGUCAAGCCAUGAAAGCCGGGGGUACCUGAAGUACGUAACCGCGAGGAGCGUCCUAGGGUAAAACUGGUGAUUGGGGCU